GAUCAGUGAUGAAAAUAGGUAAGUCUGAGUAUCAGAUUCCAGCCUACCCUAUGCAGGGCCUCAACAGUUCUGAGA
ensembl:snoRNA